UACAUGGAUAUUAGCAUCAACACCAUUAUCCAGUCUCUUGUUUAAAAUGGACAGUUUCUAUAAGCUCUUUGCUUGCAUAACAACAACAAUGGCUACGGGCAACAAGAAGGUUGCGGUGAUCCUCCAAAUCAUAAUUCUGAUUUUGGCUCUGCUCCUAUCAUCCAUAACUGCUCAGCAACAUCCUAUUGCAUAGAUGCAUACCCAAGCAAGUUACCGCCCGGAGGACCAGGGAUGCGCACAUAAGAAGCUCAAAAUUUAAAUUAUGUGAGCAAUUACACCUAAUUCCUCUUCUUCUUCUGCUUUUUCUUCUUCCCUUUUUUUUUUUUUUCUAAUGUUUGAACUACCAACUCUAAGCUUGUAUUUAAGGCUCUUGAAAUCCCAAAUGAUGUAAGAGUAUUUUGGAAAUCCCAAAUUACAUGAUAAAAACUGAUUUGGAUCAA